AUGCAUAAGCUGGGGAGAGGAAGCCGCGACAAGGUGCAACAGUUCAUGGCCAUAACUGGUGCAAGCGAGAAGGUCGCCCUUCAGGCACUGAAAGCUAGUGAUUGGCACUUAGAAGGGUCUUUUGAUUAUUUCUACAGCCAGCCACAGAUUUCUGUGACCAAUUCUCGACAUCUUGAAGAUCUUUACAGCAGAUACAAAGAACGUGAUGCUGAUAUGAUCAUGGUGGAGGGCACAUCUCAACUUUGCAACGACCUGUUGGUGGACCCUCAGGAUGUUGUCAUGCUUGUCAUAUCAUGGCACAUGAAAGCUGCCACAAUGUGUGAAUUUACUCGCCAGGAAUUCAUUGAUGGUCUGCAGUCAAUUGGGGUUGAUUCAAUUGAGAAGCUCCGUGAGAAACUUCCAUCACUGCGAGCUGAGAUAAAGGACGAUAAUAAGUUCCGUGAGAUAUACAACUUUGCGUUUGCUUGGGCUAGGGAAAAGGGUCAGAAAUCCCUUCCACUGGAGACAGCUAUUGGAAUGUGGAGGUUGCUGUUUGCUGAAAGGCAUUGGCCCUUAAUUGAUCACUGGUGUCAGUUUCUACAGGUCAGGCAUAACAAAGCCAUCUCUAGGGACACAUGGUCUCAGCUGUUGGAAUUUGUCAAGACAAUUGAUCCACAGUUAUCCAACUAUGAUGAAGAAGGUGCUUGGCCCUACCUAAUUGAUGAAUUUGUGGAGUACCUAACCGAGAAUGGAUGCGUUCAGCGUAACAAGUGA
rnacentral:rRNA from 1 species